UACGGGAGGCAGCAGUGGGGAAUUUUCCGCAAUGGGCGCAAGCCUGACGGAGCAACGCCGCGUGAGGGAUGAAGGCCUCUGGGCUGUAAACCUCUUUUAUCAAGGAAGAAGAUCUGACGGUACUUGAUGAAUAAGCCACGGCUAAUUCCGUGCCAGCAGCCGCGGUAAUACGGGAGUGGCAAGCGUUAUCCGGAAUUAUUGGGCGUAAAGCGUCCGCAGGCGGUUUUACAAGUCUGUCGUUAAAGCGUGGAGCUCAACUCCAUUUCAGCGAUGGAAACUGUAAGACUCGAGUGUGGUAGGGGCAGAGGGAAUUCCCGGUGUAGCGGUGAAAUGCGUAGAUAUCGGGAAGAACACCAGUGGCGAAAGCGCUCUGCUGGGCCAUAACUGACGCUCAUGGACGAAAGCCAGGGGAGCGAAAGGGAUUAGAUACCCCUGUAGUCCUGGCCGUAAACGAUGAACACUAGGUGUCGGGGGAAUCGACCCCCUCGGUGUCG
rnacentral:rRNA from 1 species